GUCUUUUUGAAAUAAAUUUAAAGUCUGACCUGCCCACUGANAAAUUUUAAAGGGCCGCGGUAUUUUGACCGUGCAAAGGUAGCAUAAUCAUUAGUUUUUUAAUUGGAAGCUUGUAUGAAUGGUUGGACGAAAUAUUUACUGUCUCAUAAAAAUUUGUAUUAGAAAUUAAUUUUUUUGUUAAAAAGCAAAAAUGAUAUUAGAGGACGAGAAGACCCUAUAGAGCUUUAUAAUUUUAUUAUUUAAUUUUUUAAGGAAAUUUUAAAUUUUAUAAGAAUAAUUAUUUUGUUGGGGUGACAAUAAAAUUUAUAAAACUUUUAUUAUAAAUGUUACAUUGAUUAAUGAAUAUUUGAUCCAUUAUUAAUGAUUAAAAAAUUAAGUUACCUUAGGGAUAACAGCGUAAUUUUUUUUAAGAGUUCAUAUCGACAAAAAAGAUUGCGACCUCGAUGUUGGAUUAAGAGUUAUUUUUAGGUGUAGAAGUUUAAAAUUUAGGUCUGUUCGACCUUUGAAUUCUU
rnacentral:rRNA from 1 species